CCCACUCCAUAGGUGUGCUUGUGAAUAAUGCUAGUAUGAGUAACAGGAAAUAUGUCUUCUUGCAUAAGCUUAUAUCAGCGCGGAUAACCAUUGGUGGUAUAUUCUCUGGUCACUACCUCGUUGAUGGUGGAAUGGCCCUUCUUCUUCUGGCCACCCUUCUUUGUGGGAACCGUUCUGCCAGGCCCUGAGAUCGGUAGAGCA